GGUAGACAGAAGGCUUGAACAGGGGGUUGUACAAGAUACCGGCACAUGUAAAGCGCAUGCGUACGCGUGCGCAGUGCUAUGCUAGUGGUCGGAAGAUGGCGUUGAGUAUGUUCGACUCGGAGACUGCUGCAGUGCACUGGAAAAAUCGUGUUUAAUCUCCGUUUUAGAAAAUGAAAGAUUUGGGAAUGACAAACCUGCUUCAGGAGUGGGACUUCCCACAUUUAGUUCCAAUCUUUAGAGUUAAAUGUUGCAGAAGAUGAGCACGAAGAAGACACCUACUGGAUGCAAUAUUACUCAUCACCUGACAACAUUGUUGUUAAUGUGACGAACCUCGGUACCGAGAUAUGAGUUGACUAGAGGAAACCCGCGACCAAGCACAGCAGAAAUUCUUGACAAAUAUCUACAGCUUUUGGGAAUGAUUGAUCAAGACUUUGAUUUAACAAUUGAUGCAGCUCCUGGUGCCCUUUUCACAAUGUGGCCAAAGUUGUCCAUGCAGACUUAGGAAUUUGCGGAGAAGAUUAAUCCAGGGUAUAGAAAGAUCCUAGGGGCUGGAGUGGACCAGAAAAUGACGCAGAGUCAACAAUGAAGAAAAUUUGGCUUUCAGUACUUCCUGGGAUUUUGAUCGGCAGAACGAAAGGGGAAUGAGGCAAAUUAAAUGUGCCGUACUUCAAAGUCUUGAAUCUUUCAUCAAUCUCCAAUUAGAAGGAGCAUGAAGAAAAAGAAGAUGAACAGGAAUUGACAAUGGCGCGUUCCAUACCCGGGAGUGAUUGCACA
rnacentral:lncRNA from 1 species